rnacentral:rRNA from 1 species
UACGAAGGGUCCAAGCGUUAUCCGGAUUUAUUGGGUUUAAAGGGUGCGUAGGCGGCUUAUUAAGUCAGUGGUGAAAGACUUCAGCUUAACUGAAGAACUGCCAUUGAUACUGAUGAGCUUGAGUACAGUUGAGGUGGGCGGAAUGUGUCAUGUAGCGGUGAAAUGCUUAGAUAUGACACAGAACACCGAUUGCGAAGGCAGCUCGCUAAACUGUAACUGACGCUGAUGCACGAAAGCGUGGGGAGCAAACAGG